GUUGAGGUCGACCCCAUGGGGCUUUUUCUGUAGACCUAUAUAGCUGGAAAUGCCUCAUAAAAUAGAUGUAGAUGUGUGGCUUCCUUUAUUCACAGAACUAUGUGUUAGAUCUAUGUGAAAGAACUACAAGACAUCG
ensembl:snoRNA